rnacentral:rRNA from 1 species
UGGGGAAUUUUGGACAAUGGGCGAAAGCCUGAUCCAGCAAUGCCGCGUGUGUGAAGAAGGCCUUCGGGUUGUAAAGCACUUUUGUCCGGAAAGAAAUCCUCUGGGUUAAUACCUCGGGGGGAUGACGGUACCGGAAGAAUAAGCACCGGCUAACUACGUGCCAGCAGCCGCGGUAAUACGUAGGGUGCAAGCGUUAAUCGGAAUUACUGGGCGUAAAGCGUGCGCAGGCGGUUUGCUAAGACCGAUGUGAAAUCCCCGGGCUCAACCUGGGAACUGCAUUGGUGACUGGCAGGCUAGAGUAUGGCAGAGGGGGGUAGAAUUCCACGUGUAGCAGUGAAAUGCGUAGAGAUGUGGAGGAAUACCGAUGGCGAAGGCAGCCCCCUGGGCCAAUACUGACGCUCAUGCACGAAAGCGUGGGGAGCAAACAGGAUUAGAUACCCUGGUAGUCCACGCCCUAAACGAUGUCAACUAGUUGUUGGGGAUUCAUUUCCUUAGUAACGUAGCUAACGCGUGAAGUUGACCGCCUGGGGAGUACGGUCGCAAGA